GAGCUUUAAUUAAUUAGUUUAUAAGAAAAAACUAUAAACCAUUAAGGAACAACAUAUUUUCUUACAUAAACUAACAAUUUAGGUUGGGGUGACCUCGGAACACAAAACAACUUCCGAGUGAUUUUAGCUUAGACCUACUAGUCAAAGCAACAAAAUCAUUUAUUGAUCCAAUAGUAUUGAUCAACGGAACAAGUUACCCUAGGGAUAACAGCGCAAUCCUAUUUAAGAGUCCCUAUCGACAAUAGGGUUUAC
rnacentral:rRNA from 1 species